AUUGAACGCUGGCGGAAUGCUUUACACAUGCAAGUCGAACGGUAGAGGGGGCAACCCCUUGAGAGUGGCGAACGGGCGAGUAAUAUAUCGGAACGUGCCCAGUCGUGGGGAUAACGUAGCGAAAGUUACGCUAAUACCGCAUACGAUCUAAGGAUGAAAGCGGGGGAUCGCAAGACCUCGCGCGAUUGGAGCGGCCGAUAUCAGAUUAGGUAGUUGGUGAGGUAAAGGCUCACCAAGCCAACGAUCUGUAGCUGGUCUGAGAGGACGACCAGCCACACUGGAACUGAGACACGGUCCAGACUCCUACGGGAGGCAGCAGUGGGGAAUUUUGGACAAUGGACGCAAGUCUGAUCCAGCCAUUCCGCGUGCAGGAUGAAGGCCCUCGGGUUGUAAACUGCUUUUGUACGGAACGAAAGGUUCUAUAAUACUAGGAGCUCAUGACGGUACCGUAAGAAUAAGCACCGGCUAACUACGUGCA
rnacentral:rRNA from 1 species